rnacentral:rRNA from 1 species
CCUACGGGAGGCAGCAGUGAGGAAUAUUGGUCAAUGGGCGCGAGCCUGAACCAGCCAAGUCGCGUGAGGGAGGACGGCCCUACGGGUUGUAAACCUCAUUUGCAGGGGAGCAAAUGGCGUCACGUGUGGAGCCACUCAGGGCACCCGGAGAACAAGCAUCGGCUAACUCCGGGCCAGCAGCCGCGGUAAUCCGGGGGAGGCGAGCGUUAUCGGGCUUUGGUGGGUUAAAGGGGUACGUGGGCGGAUCGUUAAGUCAGGGGUAAAAUUGAGGGGCUCAACCCGUUCCCGCCAUUGAAACUGGCGUUCUGGAGUGGAAGAGAAGUAUGCGGAAUGCGUGGUGUAGCGGUGAAAUGCAUAGAUAUCACGCAGAACCCCGAUUGCGAAGGCAGCAUGCCGGCUUCCGACUGACGCUGAAGCACGAAAGCGUGGGGAUCGAACAGGAUUAGAUACCCUGGUAGUC